AUGUCUGCUAUCCAGAACCUCCACUCUUUUGACCCCUUUGCUGAUGCAAGUAGGGAUGAUAACCUGCUUCCUGCUGGCACUGAGGAUUAUAUCCUUAUGAGAAUUCAACAGUGAAAAUGGCAGGAAGACCCUUACUACCAUCCAAGGGAUCACUGAUGAUUACGAUAAAAAGAAACUAGUGAAGGCAUUUAAGAAGAAAUUUGCCUGCAAUGGUACUGUAAUUGAGCAUCCAGAAUAUGGAGAAGCAAUUCAGCUACAGGGUGACCAGCGCAAGAACACAUGCCAGUUCCUCAUAGAGAUCGGACUGGCUAAGGACAAUCAGUUGAAGGUUCAUGGGUUUUAAGUGCUUUUGUGGCUCAUUGAACCUUAAGUAAGGAUAUCCUUGCAAUGAGUAGAAUUUCCCUUCUGUCCCUUGUCACAAAUUUUAAAACCUCACAGCUUGUAUAAUGUAACCAUUUGGGGUCUGCUUUUAACCUGGACUAGUGUAACUCCUUCAGGCAAUAAGCUGAAAAGAGCCAUGCUGUCUAGUCUGGAAGUCCCUCAUUUAAACAGAGGUCAAGCAGGAGGUGCCUGGCAGGGUCAAGCUUGAAACAAAGCAAUAACGUGAUAUUUCAACCAAGCCCAGAGCCCUAGGAUCACAGACAACUAUGUCUGGCCAGAAGUUCCUCAGUUUUCUCUCUGGAGAGUUCCCUGGCCUGAAAGAUUGUCACCACCAGAAUGAGCCUCGGUGAACCCGAGAGGAGAGGAUGAC